CAGGUUGUUUUGAGAUUCAUAUUACAACGCAAUAUCAUUGUGAUUCCAAAAUCAGUUACUCCGUCUAGAAUCAAGGAGAAUUUUGAUGUGAGUAGAUCAUGUAAGAUCAAAAUGUUUAAGAUUGAAGAUAUGGGAGUGCCAGUGACACAACGGAUGUGUUGAAUUGUCAUGAAACAAUUUUUGUGUCUAAAUCCUUCGUAUGAAAAGCAUAGACAAUUACUUACACAUUUAUAUUGCAUUUAAAAAUUAAGUUCUGUAAUCGUAUAACCAUUUUUAUAGGUAAUAAAAUCAAAGUAAAUUACAGUUUAGCUCACAAAUCGAAUUUCAAAUACGUGUUUACUACCAAAAUGUUUUAUAUACUGUCAGUUUUUUUUUUUUUUUUUAGAUCAAAGAUCUUUGAUAUUUUUUUCUUAAAUCAGUUAGAUUUUUUUUAUAGAAAAUUCUAUUACUGAUUUCACAGUUCUUGAUUCAUUUACGAGCCACUUAUCACAGGAUCAGACAUUAUUUGUACAAAAUAUUCCUUUUAAAAUGCACUUCAAUGAUCAAUUCGCAAUUCAAAAUAAUUUUAUCCUCAUGAACAAGACAGUAGAAACCUAUCGACAAUUAUUUUACUUCUUAUCAUACUUUCAGAAAAAAAAAUAUUAGAGUUAUCUUCUUCAGGUGUUCACUUUUUCGUUGUCACCAGACGAGAUGGAACAAAUAUGGACAUUAGAUAAACAUCCCCGUUUAUUUACAGAGAAGUGGUAAGGUUCAAUAUGUAUUUCAUCAUAAAACAGUGUAUUUCUUUUUCUUUGCUACAUUACCCUUCCAAAUUCAAAAACUUAAUAAUAUCGUUUGAUGACAAAAUCAUAUGCAGCAAUUAUUGAUUCUUCUUUUUUGUAAUCAUACAAUCGUUCUUUCUGUUAAUUUAAUAAGCAAUCACACAACAUUACUAACAAAGUCGCAAAAGAUAGCAUUCCAAUACAACUAGAGGUCAUCAGAUGGUCAAGUUUCUCUAUCUUGUGACAGGUUCCCCAUUGUCUAUUGUACUUUGUCUUUGUUUCGAUGAAGCAAACUAUUCUUUCUUAUUUUGCAAUUGACGAUUUCUUCUUUUGUAGAGUACACAAAUACAUCUAUCAUAUAAAUCAAUAUACUAUUUUUUAUCAUCUGAUCAUUUGUCCCCUGUAUUCAAUUAGUUGUAUAUAGUCAUCGACAAACUUUUUACCAAGUCCUCUUUACUAUCAGAAUAAGGGUUUUAAGCAUUCUUUCAAAAUUCCAAAAAAACUCCGUUUGAAGUGAUCCUUUUAAGCAAAAUAAGUCAUGUGUUUCUAUUAUUUUUAUUUGCAUAUACUAUAACACUAACUGAUCAUAUUCUAUUGCAGGGCAAGUGGGCAUCAAGAGUAUCCAUUCCAUGCAAAAUUCUAAGGAACUUUUUCUUUUACCACUUGUUCUAACCGGAUGACAAUACAGUUGUAUUUUCAUUUUAUUAUUUUAAUCCUCUCUAUAUCUGUAUCAAUAAUAAAAAUAAAUGAAGUUGGACGUCGACAAUUUAAAAGUGAACAAUUUACACUCUGGAAAUACAAUUGAGAAUGGAAAUGGGGAAUGUGUUAAAGAGACAACAACCCGACCAUAGAACAGACAACAGCAGAAGGUCACCAAUAGGUCUUCAAUGCAGCAAGAAACUCCCGCACCUGGAGGCGUCCUUCAGC
rnacentral:lncRNA from 1 species